ACGAACGCUGGCGGCGUGCCUCAAACAUGCAAGUCGAGCGGGGUUCUGGAAGUGGGCGACCACGGAAGGGACCUAGCGGCGGACGGGUGAGUAACGCGUGGGUAAUCUGCCCAAGGGACCGGGAUAACACCGUCGAAAGGGGUGCUAAUACCGGGUGACCCUGGUGCUCCGAGUGGGGGACCAGGGAUAGGUGGCCUCUUGACAAUGCUACUGCCCCUUGGAUGAGCCCGCGUCCCAUUAGCUAGUUGGCGGGGUAAAGGCCCACCAAGGCGACGAUGGGUAGCCG
rnacentral:rRNA from 1 species